AUUGAACGCUGGCGGCAGGCCUAACACAUGCAAGUCGAACGAGUGGCGGACGGGUGAGUAAUGUCUGGGAAACUGCCUGAUGGCGGGGGAUAUCUACUGGCAACGGUAGCUACUACCGCAUACCAUCAGAUGUGCCCAGAUGGGAUUAGCUAGUUGGUGGGGUAACGGCUCACCCAGGCGACGAUCCCUAGCUGGUCUGAUAGGAUGACAAGCCACCCUGGAACUGAGACACGGUCCAGAGUACGACGGGAGGCAGCAGUGGGGAAUAUGGCACAAUGGGCGCAAGCCUGAUGCAGCCAUGCCUCGUGUAUGAAGAAGGCCUUCGGGUUGUAAAGUACUUUCAGCGGGGAGGCGUUACCCGCAGAAGAAGCACCGGCUAACUCCGGGCCAGCAGCCGCGGUAAUUC
rnacentral:rRNA from 1 species